UACGAAGGGGGCUAGCGUUGCUCGGAAUCACUGGGCGUAAAGCGCACGUAGGCGGCUUUGUAAGUCGGGGGUGAAAGCCUGUGGCUCAACCACAGAAUUGCCUUCGAUACUGCAUGGCUUGAGACCGGAAGAGGUAAGUGGAACUGCGAGUGUAGAGGUGAAAUUCGUAGAUAUUCGCAAGAACACCAGUGGCGAAGGCGGCUUACUGGUCCGGUUCUGACGCUGAGGCGCGAAAGCGUGGGGAGCAAACAGG
rnacentral:rRNA from 1 species